rnacentral:sRNA from 1 species
GCUGGAAUAACUCAGA